rnacentral:rRNA from 1 species
CCUACGGGAGGCAGCAGUGGGGAAUAUUGCGCAAUGGGCGAAAGCCUGACGCAGCGACGCCGCGUGAGGGAUGAAGGUUUUCGGAUCGUAAACCUCUGUUAGCAGGGAAGAACGGUCACUGUGGUAAUCAGCAGUGAAUUGACGGUACCUGCACAGGAAGCAACGGCUAACUCCGUGCCAGCAGCCGCGGUAAUACGGAGGGGGCGAGCGUUAAUCGGAAUUACUGGGCGUAAAGCGCUCGUAGGCGGUCUGUCAAGUCAAGGGUGAAAGCCCCGCGCUCAACGUGGGAACUGCCUUGGAAACUGGCAAACUUGAGUGUGUGAGAGGAUAGUGGAAUUCCAGGUGUAGGAGUGAAAUCCGUAGAUAUAUGGAGGAACAUCAGUGGCGAAGGCGACUAUCUGGCACAUAACUGACGCUGAGGAGCGAAGGCGUGGGUAGCAAACAGGAUUAGAUACCCUAGUAGUC